UGAUUCAGCUUAUUUACUUAACUGGUCAAAUUAUUCAUACUGAUUUGCUAACCUGUUUUGCUGAUUUUUUUAUUAAAUUGUUCAUGAAUCUCUGUUUAUAAAAAGCUGACCCAAAGCACCUGACACUGUUUGAUUGCUGAAAUAUUGUGGUGCUUGAUUAUUUUAAUAUACAUGCAUGUUAACUGGUACCACAGCAAAAUUAUUGCAAAUCCUUAAGUAUUAAAAAUUUAUUUGGAGGAACUAUGCCAUAGCACUAUUAGUAAGCAUUGAAUCACGUAGAGAGCACUUACAGAAAGAGCUGUAAAGAGUGAAGAGCGGAAGGUGUGGAGUGGGGGGUGUUUAACUGAAGUGUUUGGCUGCAGCACCAUAGGUUAUACUCUAUUUUCUUGUGUUUAUUUUGGAUAUUCUUUCUAUCAUGCACACAAACACAUACAUAUAAGAAUAGUUGAGAUGGGCUCUCAAAUGGGACAGGGGGACCCCUGCAGAUGGAGGUGGGCGUUACAUCCGCCCAGUGAGUCAUCAGUGCUAAAUUUAGAAAAAAUUGCUCGCUCACACAUUCUCACAUGCAAAAACACACUUAGAAUUGUUUUUAUCAUCAUUGUCUUUAUCAUUAUCACCAUCACAGGCUUCUACCACUACAUCAACUUUCCCACAUGGUCAAACACAUGGGAAGAAGAUGAGGUCAAAACUUGUAACCUUUCUGAUACAUCUAUCUUACAACAUCAAAGCAUGCCCUCCUCACCAUGAGCCCCUGUUCCCAUAGAAACAGAACAGCUGGACUGUCAGACCAGGUGUGUUUGACUGACGGGGUCUCACUAAGCUGUCCCAGGAGUGGAACUGGCGGCGGAACCCUGCAGUCUUUUGAUCGGUGAAUGGAGCGGUCAGCAAGGGGCAGUGGAGAAACUCACCGCAGAAGAGGAGAGGAAAUUAAAUCAGCGGGAUACACAGGUUUGGGGCAGAUCCAAUGAGUGCCAAGUGCAAACUAAUUUAAUUGUGUGUGGGCUGCUGUCCCUUGAUGCCCGGCCCAGACCAACCACCCCAUGACCUUCACGACCCUACAGCCUGCCAUAGGGAGACAGCAGUCUGCUGCAAGAGGUGGCCGGGAACACACUUGGUAAGUGGUCUGCACCUAAUUUGUCAGAGUGUGUUUGCAUAUGUGUAUACGUAUAAUUAUAAAUGUGUUUCAUGUGCUCUUAUGUCUGACAAAGACAUUCACUGAAGUCACACAGUCUUAGCAUUUGAGAACAGAAAGUGAGGAAGAUCAGGACAGAAAAAUGUAGCAUCUCAUAGAGGGAUCAGAUGGAAUAGGGGACUGAAUAGAGAUAGAGGGGAAAAGAGAUAGAUCAGAGUGUGAUGGAGAGGUAGGAAGUUCCCCAGGUUUGUCUGUGACACCGCAUGCUGUUGUGUAAGCCAAACAAACAACAGGUGUCAGGCUUCUGUAAAAACCCUCUUGCUCCUGACUGUGAGGAAAUUGGAGUCGGCAGACCUGUGAAGUUCAAAGCAGGAGAAAAAAACAUUAAACAAUAGAAGCAUCACUCUCAGUAUGGAUGGGAAAUCAAAUGCCAUGCUAACACACAACGCACAGAUAUACACCCAUGGGAGCAGACAAACACACAUGCAGAUACCAUAUUACAUAAAACGACUUUAGACUGAGAAUUUACACUUUCUGUAAAUA